rfam:Clostridium sp. CAG:299 genomic scaffold, scf231
CAUAAAAGUAGAGGUUGCGUUAAUCAUAAGUAACCGGCUGGAUGUUGCAGGAACAGGGGAAGGCCGAUAAAAGGGAGCGACGCCGAAGAUUCAUGCAGAUCUGCCUGUUUGGAUCUGGGCAUGUGGUGAAGAACCAUAUGACUGUCAUCUGUGCAGGAUGGGGAGCUACAGAAGAA